AAACUGGAGAGUUUGAUCCUGGCUCAGAACAAACGCUGGCGGCGUGCCUAACACAUGCAAGUCGUACGAGAAAGUUGGCUUCGGCCGAUGAGUAAAGUGGCGCACGGGUGAGUAACGCGUGGAUAAUCUGCCCCUCAGUUGGGAAUAACUCAUCGAAAGGUGAGAUAAUACCGAAUAACACUGUGAGACCCAGGUCGAUCAGUCAAAGGGAGCCUCUGCUUGCAAGCUUUCGCUGAAGGAUGAGUCCGCGUACCAUUAGCUGGUUGGUAGGGUAAUGGCCUACCAAGGCGACGAUGGUUAGCUGGUCUGAGAGGAUGAUCAGCCACACUGGAACUGAGACACGGUCCAGACUCCUACGGGA
rnacentral:rRNA from 1 species